CCUACGGGAGGCAGCAGUGGGGAAUAUUGGACAAUGGGCGCAAGCCUGAUCCAGCCAUGCCGCGUGAGUGACGAAGGCCCUAGGGUUGUAAAGCUCUUUUGGCGGGGACGAUAAUGACGGUACCCGCAGAAUAAGCUCCGGCUAACUUCGUGCCAGCAGCCGCGGUAAUACGAAGGGAGCUAGCGUUGUUCGGAAUCAUUGGGCGUAAAGCGCGUGUAGGCGGCUUGGUAAGUCGGGUGUGAAAGCCCGGGGCCCAACCCCGGAAUUGCAUUCGAUACUGCCUCGCUAGAGUCCCGGAGAGGAGAGCGGAAUUCCCGGUGUAGAGGUGAAAUGCGUAGAUAUCGGGAAGAACAUCUGCGGCGAAGGCGGCUCGCUGGGCCUCAUCUGACGCUGAAGCGCGAAAGCGUGGGGAGCAAACAGGAUUAGAUACCCUGGUAGUCCACGCCGUAAACGCUGGGCACUAGGUGUCGGGAGGCUUGGUCCUUUCGGUGCCGCAGCUAACGCAUUAAGUGCCCCGCCUGGGGAUUACGGCCGCAAGGCUGAAACUCAAAGGAAUUGACGG
rnacentral:rRNA from 1 species